AUUGAACGCUGGCGGCAGGCCUAACACAUGCAAGUCGAACGAGUGGCGGACGGGUGAGUAAUGUCUGGGAAACUGCCUGAUGGAGGGGGAUAACUACUGGAAACGGUAGCUAAAACCGCAUACCAUCGGAUGUGCCCAGAUGGGAUUGGCUGUUAGGUGGGGUAGAGGCUCACCUAGGCGACGAUCCCUAGCUGGUCUGAGAGGAUGACCAGCCAAACUGGAACUGGGACACGGUCCAGACCCCUAGGGGAGGAAGCAGUGGGGAAUAUUGCACAAUGGGCGAAAGCGUGAUGCAGCCAGGCCGCGUGGAUGAAGAAGGCCUUCGGGUUGUAAAGUACUUUCAGCGGGGAGGCGUUACCCGCAGAAGAAGCACCGGCUAACUCCGUGCCAGCAGCCGCGGUAAUUC
rnacentral:rRNA from 1 species